UGGGGAAUAUUGGACAAUGGGCGAAAGCCUGAUCCAGCCAUGCCGCGUGAGUGAUGAAGGCCCUAGGGUUGUAAAGCUCUUUUGUGCGGGAAGAUAAUGACGGUACCGCAAGAAUAAGCCCCGGCUAACUUCGUGCCAGCAGCCGCGGUAAUACGAAGGGGGCUAGCGUUGCUCGGAAUCACUGGCCGUAAAGGGUGCGUAGGCGGAUCUUUAAGUCAGGGGUGAAAUCCUGGAGCUCAACUCCAGAACUGCCUUUGAUACUGAAGGUCUUGAGUUCGGGAGAGGUGAGUGGAACUGCGAGUGUAGAGGUGAAAUUCGUAGAUAUUCGCAAGAACACCAGUGGCGAAGGCGGCUCACUGGCCCGAUACUGACGCUGAGGCACGAAAGCGUGGGGAGCUAACAGGAUUAGAUACCCUGGUAGUCCACGCCGUAAACGAUGAAUGCCAGCCGUUAGUGGGUUUACUCACUAGUGGCGCAGCUAACGCUUUAAGCAUUCCGCCUGGGGAGUACGGUCGCAAGAUUA
rnacentral:rRNA from 1 species